UACGUAGGCAGCAAGCGUUGUUCGGAGUUACUGGGCGUAAAGGGUGUGUAGGCGGUUGUUUAAGUUUGGUGUGAAAUCUCCCGGCUCAACUGGGAGGGUGCGCCGAAUACUGAAUGACUCGAGUGCGGGAGAGGAAAGUGGAAUUCCUGGUGUAGCGGUGAAAUGCGUAGAUAUCAAGUGGAACACCAGUGGCGAAGGCGAGUCUCUGGACAUUUCCUGACGCUGAGGCGCGAAAGCCAGGGGAGCAAACGGG
rnacentral:rRNA from 1 species